rnacentral:rRNA from 1 species
GAUGAACGCUAGCGGCAGGCCUAACACAUGCAAGUCAGGGGCAUCGCGGUGCAGCAAUGCACUGGCGGCGACCGGCGUACGGGUGCGUAACGCGUAUCGCAACCUGCCCCGCACCGGGGGAUAGCCCGCCGAAAGGCGGAUUAAUACCCCGAUGGCCCCGGGGGCCCGCAUGGGCAUCCGGGUAAAGCCUUGGCGGUGCGGGAUGGGCAUGCGUGCCAUUAGCUGGCUGGUGGGGUAACGGCCCACCAGGGCAACGAUGGCUAGGGGGUCUGAGAGGAUGGUCCCCCACACUGGUACUGAGACACGGACCAGACUCCUACGGGAGGCAGCAGUGAGGAAUAUUGGUCAAUGGGCGGAAGCCUGAACCAGCCAUGCCGCGUGCGGGAUGAAGGCCCUACGGGUUGUAAACCGCUUUUCCCCGGGAAGAAUAAGCCCCCCGCGGGGGGUGAUGCCGGUACCGGGGGAAUAAGGAUCGGCUAACUCCGUG